rnacentral:lncRNA from 1 species
GUAGGGAAACCUAUUCUUUAUAAAGAAAGAGAAUUUAUACCAAAGGUUUUUUAACAAUCUAAUUUAGCUGACUUAUAGAAUAUUUGAUUAGAAAAUGUCAAUGUAGUUUUAGGUUAACAUAAUUUGGAGUUUGGUCAUGAGUGAUGAGCACAACUUAAGUCUAGUCUAAACUAGUGAUUCAGUAUUGCCAACCCGGUCCAACCUAAAUAUAAUUUGUAUAUUUGUAUGUAUGUGCAAUUGAGAGGGAGAG